rnacentral:lncRNA from 1 species
AACAAUGUGUCCCUCGUCUCCUGUUACCAUCGAUCCUAUGUGACACACCGGCUCAGAGAAACUGGAACACCCCGUAUUCCAGCCCAGAGAUCAAGGAAAAGUCUCUGGAAUACGGCACUUCUUGACAUAGAACAAAUCAUCUCUUAUUACAAGAAUAAUAAUACAAGGGUUUGAUGUUACAACGAAGCACAUCAGCACGGCGACACUACGCCUGCGAAACUACACUUGCUCUAUGCUAGCAGUGGAACAACUCGUAGCAGCGGAAUACUUCUAGCAGCGGAACAAUGACGAAGGUGGUGAACUCCACUCCACAGGGACUCUGGCUGGGACACGCUCUAGCUCGCACGCACGGCAACCUCGACAAGCAAGCAAGCAAUCAUGGCAUCACCUGCAAUCUGGCAUGACACGCCAGGUUAGUACAUUGAAUGUACUUGCAAGCUCACAACAACCAUAAACAUCAAGGCGAGACAAUAACAUAGCAUUUAACAGGUUAAUUAAAUUAACAACUAUUAUGAUGAAACAACUACUAAGCAUGGUAUGAAACUGAUACAAUACUAAUAAAUCACCAUCUCAGAUCUCCAUAACCAUAUCACUCUUGGCUAACCGGCCAAGCAAUAUACCAUCUCGAUCACCUCGUGAUCAAAUCCAAACAGUGCUCUUUCCGGCGAUCACUACCAUGACCAACACUUGGUCUCAAAUGGUGAUCUUUCCGGCGAUCACUACCAUGACCAACACUUGGUCUCGAACGGUGAUCUUUCCGGUGAUCACUACCACGACCAACACUUGGUCUCAAACGGUGAUCUUUCCGGCGAUCACUACCACGACCAACACUUGGUCUCCAACAUCAUCAUCAACAUCCUGCCAAUCUGUACUACUCAAAUAUCAACAUAUAUAUAUGUAUAUCUAUAUCACCUAUAAGUCAUUCCGUCAUGUGAGUGUUGAUCGAACGGUGGGACCUAGUAUGAACCCAUGCCCAUGAUCGAGGACGCGGCUAUCGAUAGUUUAAACAAAUACACUCUGUAGAGGUAGCGCACUUUACCCACACCACGAAACCCAUGGCCUCGCACUCCCAUUCAGGUGGACCAGCGGUGUUCCGACAAAACCGUUCUACUACCAUGACACUCUCCCGGCCACUCCGACCAACACCCCUUCUGGGUUUAGUCCUGGGUGGCCCCGUGUCUACCAAAGACACAACGACCACCGUCGUGGCCAAAACAUAAACGUCCCAAUGGGGACAAAAAGGCGCCUAACAACUACGGGCACACAAGGUUAUGUCUGCUUACCGGGCCAGGGUACGCACGCCCAUAACCUUCCCUCGUUGGAGGCACCGACAAGAGACAUGACAAUAGACCACAUUAUGGCCUUCCCAUAAGGCAAAUGUGGUUGCACUGGAAGAGCCCGGUUCGGUGGCACCUGACCAACUUAAUGACGAAAUUUAUCCCCAAAAAUAUAACUGUGAUAACUGAUACUCCAAUAUCAACUAUCAAACUAUAAUCCAAGUCAUAGCAAUAACCAACAAAUAAUCCAAGCAUAAUAUCAUCAUCUCAAAAUACUCCAAGGGUAGCACUACACUACUGUCAUGAUGAAUCCGAAAAUCAUAAUCCUACUACUCCAAUAACAAGAAUAAAGCUAUUCGGCUAAGAUCCACAUGUAAACAUCAUUUCUGAAAAUAAUACUCCAAGCAACAGAACAUCAACUAGCAUCAUGAAAAAUAAUCAUACUAACCACUAAUAAUCCAAAGGUAGCAUGAUAUCCAAAGUAAUACUUCAAAAUAAUACCGGAUACCAUCAUGAAAAUAAUAAUCAUAAUAGCCACUAAGAAUCCAAAGGCACGUGUCAUCCACAUAAUCAUCAAAAUAUUAAUCCUAGAACUCCAAGCAAUAUCAUGGCAAUAUCAAGCUCUAAACAAUACUCCCGGAAAUGCCAUGAACAAAUCAUACAUAGCUAAUGCAGUGUUUUAAACAAGUUCAAAUGAAUAAACCAUGUCACUGCAUUGCAAUCAUGCAAAUGGAGGGUGUGGCUUGUCUGGGAUGGAAGAAUACACCGCGAGAAAGUGCGAGAAACUCGCGGAACGAAUCACCGGAAAGCGUUCUCUCUCGGAGGGGGCUGAAUAAGGGCAGGGGGAAGACGGUCAUUUUAAGAAUGUCGAAACAUGGUGAAAAUGGUUCCACCAGAACGGGCUCGACAAAACGAAGAAGUGGGCUUUGGAUUCACCUCAAACGGAGUUGUGAGCAAAAAGUUAUAGCUCGACGAAGUUCAGGGACCAAUCUGUAAAAAUAACUCUACAAACAGGCCC